rnacentral:rRNA from 1 species
GGUGCUAACGUCCGUCGUGAAGAGGGAAACAACCCAGACCGCCAGCUAAGGUCCCAAAGUCAUGGUUAAGUGGGAAACGAUGUGGGAAGGCCCAGACAGCCAGGAUGUUGGCUUAGAAGCAGCCAUCAUUUAAAGAAAGCGUAAUAGCUCACUGGUCGAGUCGGCCUGCGCGGAAGAUGUAACGGGGCUAAACCAUGCACCGAAGCUGCGGCAGCGACACUGUGUGUUGUUGGGUAGGGGAGCGUUCUGUAAGCCUGUGAAGGUGUGUCGUGAGGCAUGCUGGAGGUAUCAGAAGUGCGAAUGCUGACAUAAGUAACGAUAAAGCGGGUGAAAAGCCCGCUCGCCGGAAGACCAAGGGUUCCUGUCCAACGUUAAUCGGGGCAGGGUGAGUCGACCCCUAAGGCGAGGCCGAAAGGCGUAGUCGAUGGGAAACGGGUUAAUAUUCCCGUACUUGGUGUUACUGCGAAGGGGGGACGGAGAAGGCUAUGUUGGCCGGGCGACGGUUGUCCCGGUUUAAGCGUGUAGGUGUGUGUUCCAGGUAAAUCCGGUUCACUUUAACACUGAGGCGUGACGACGAGGCACUACGGUGCUGAAGCAACAAAUGCCCUGCUUCCAGGAAAAGCCUCUAAGCAUCAGGUAACAUCAAAUCGUACCCCAAACCGACACAGGUGGUCAGGUAGAGAAUACCAAGGCGCUUGAGAGAACUCGGGUGAAGGAACUAGGCAAAAUGGUGCCGUAACUUCGGGAGAAGGCACGCUGACACGUAGGUGAAGUGAUUUACUCAUGGAGCUGAAGUCAGUCGAAGAUACCAGCUGGCUGCAACUGUUUAUUAAAAACACAGCACUGUGCAAACACGAAAGUGGACGUAUACGGUGUGACGCCUGCCCGGUGCCGGAAGGUUAAUUGAUGGGGUCAGCGCAAGCGAAGCUCCUGAUCGAAGCCCCGGUAAACGGCGGCCGUAACUAUAACGGUCCUAAGGUAGCGAAAUUCCUUGUCGGGUAAGUUCCGACCUGCACGAAUGGCGUAAUGAUGGCCAGGCUGUCUCCACCCGAGACUCAGUGAAAUUGAACUCGCUGUGAAGAUGCAGUGUACCCGCGGCAAGACGGAAAGACCCCGUGAACCUUUACUAUAGCUUGACACUGAACAUUGAGCCUUGAUGUGUAGGAUAGGUGGGAGGCUUUGAAGUGUGGACGCCAGUCUGCAUGGAGCCGACCUUGAAAUACCACCCUUUAAUGUUUGAUGUUCUAACGUGGACCCGUAAUCCGGGUUGCGGACAGUGUCUGGUGGGUAGUUUGACUGGGGCGGUCUCCUCCUAAAGAGUAACGGAGGAGCACGAAGGUUGGCUAAUCCUGGUCGGACAUCAGGAGGUUAGUGCAAUGGCAUAAGCCAGCUUGACUGCGAGCGUGACGGCGCGAGCAGGUGCGAAAGCAGGUCAUAGUGAUCCGGUGGUUCUGAAUGGAAGGGCCAUCGCUCAACGGAUAAAAGGUACUCCGGGGAUAACAGGCUGAUACCGCCCAAGAGUUCAUAUCGACGGCGGUGUUUGGCACCUCGAUGUCGGCUCAUCACAUCCUGGGGCUGAAGUAGGUCCCAAGGGUAUGGCUGUUCGCCAUUUAAAGUGGUACGCGAGCUGGGUUUAGAACGUCGUGAGACAGUUCGGUCCCUAUCUGCCGUGGGCGCUGGAGAACUGAGGGGGGCUGCUCCUAGUACGAGAGGACCGGAGUGGACGCAUCACUGGUGUUCGGGUUGUCAUGCCAAUGGCACUGCCCGGUAGCUAAAUGCGGAAGAGAUAAGUGCUGAAAGCAUCUAAGCACGAAACUUGCCCCGAGAUGAGUUCUCCCUGAGACUUUAGGUCUCCUGAAGGAACGUUGAAGACGACGACGUUGAUAGGCCGGGUGUGUAAGCGCAGCGAUGCGUUGAGCUAACCGGU